rnacentral:rRNA from 1 species
AACGAACGCUGGCGGCAUGCCUAACACAUGCAAGUCGAACGAAAACUUCGGGUCUAGUGGCGCACGGGUGCGUAACGCGUGGGAACAUGCACUUAGGUUCGGAAUAACUCUCAGAAAGGGGUGCCAAUACCGGAUAAUGUCUACGGACCAAAGAUUUAUCGCAUUGGGAUGGGCGCGAGUUGGAUGAGCUAGUUGGUAGGGUAAAAGCUUACCAAGGCGACGAUUCAUAGCUUGUCUGAGAGGAUGAUCAGCCACACUUGGAGUGAGACACGGCCCAGACUCCUACGGGAGGCAGCAGUGGGUAAUAUUGGACAAUGGGCGAAAUCCUGAUCCAGCAAUGCCGCGUGAGUGAUGAAGGCCUUAGAGUUGUAAAGCUCUUGUACCCGUGAUGGUAAUGACGGUACCGGGAGAAUAAGCCCCGGCUAACUCCGUG